GCACUAAACUGCUAACAUAGAAAAUAAAUACACAAUCACCAAAUUAUAAGUGUAUAAGAAUCGAAUUGACAAUAUAUAAUAAGAAGGAAAUACAUUUAAUGAAUAUGUUUAUCUAAGAUACACAAACAAUCCUUAGGAAUAACUUUUAAGAUCGCUUUUUCUGUUAUGUCAUUAAGCUCAGUCAAAAAGUCUUCCAGAAGUUCUAAAAAUUACAUGGAAAAUAACUGUAGUCAUAGCUUAAUAGUUUGGGGGAGACUAAAUGACAUUAUCGUACCGAUAAAAAAUUUAACAGGACUAUCGUACGUACGAUAAUGUUAUUGGUAAUGAAAUGAGAGAUAUAGUAAUAAAGUAUGACUGACAUGAAUCGAAGGAAUACGCAUGAAUUACAUUUAUAAACAACCGUGUAACCAGCUUAAAUUUUCGACAAAAUCAGCUCUAUAGCAUGACAGACAGUCAAGAACUCGAAGUGGUUUUAGAGGAUGGUGGUGAUGUUUGCGCAAAUGCUGGUACGUCUGGCGAGGCUCAACAAGGUAAAGCUCCUAUGGUCAAAUUUGGCCUGACGUGAAAGAAGAAGAAAGGUAUCCGCAAAAUAGGGCACCGAAUCAGAGACCCAUUUAACAAGAAGAAAAUAGAAAAAUUGAAACAACAGAAAACUGCUUUAGAAGCAGCUGUUAAAAGGCUCAGCAAGCAGUUGUUAAUUAUGAUCUCCAUCCAUUCAAGAGGUGAGAAUGUAAAAGGUUCUGUUGGAAACUUACAAAUAGACUGCAUCAACAACAUACAUGAUUCUGACAGUGACCUUGGUGAAAUACAAGAAGCGAUUGAUAAAUUAACUGAUGCGGCUAACAAGCUGCUUGAAGAACUUACAACAGAAAACGAAAACAGAAUUAGAGAAAACGCAGAACUCAGACUUUGUCACGAACGCUCCGAGACCAAGUUGGAUGAAUUGAAAGAUCUAGUGUUACAAUGUUCAUCCGGAAUCAGCCAGCAGGAAAUCAGUCACGUGCAGGCAUUGAAAAGAUUUAAAAUAUCUAGAAGAAGCACUGGUCACAAACAUGCCUGAUGAACAAAUAGUGUCAGAUGGCAUAUCAGCAAUACGCCUCGGCCUAGUAUUUGAUCAUGGAUAUGAUUUCCUACCGUUUCAAACAAAACUUUGGUGACAAAACUUGUACAUUUGUUUUGGUAAUAAUUUAUAUGCUUUUGACAGAAAUAUUUUAACAAUCUAGUGAUAACAUAUUGUUGAAAAACGUAGAUUCGGGUGAGGGGGUUUAUACUCCAUUGAUAAAAUACACUUUAUUCCAAUUUUCAAUGUUAGUUUAUUAUGAGAUCUUGUCAUGUGAUGGAAAUAAGUCAUCAAAAUUAUAAUUUCUCUCAUUCCUCUGGUCUAAAGUCACUUAUAAUUAUAACUGUAAAUAUUUCAUUUCUUGUUUCUAUGAUCUGUCAUUUUCAAAGUCCGAGCCAAAAGUAAAG
rnacentral:misc_RNA from 1 species